GUACAGAUGGAGAGUCCCAAACUAGGACGAAACAGCUGUCCAGUAC
rfam:Trichobilharzia regenti genome assembly, scaffold: TRE_scaffold0032601